ensembl:misc_RNA Metazoa_SRP Metazoan signal recognition particle RNA
GCCCAGCGCAGCGAUACACAUCCGUGGUCCCAGCUACUCGGGAGGCUAGGGCAGGAGGAUCACUUGAGCCCAGGAGUUCUGGGCUGUAGCGCACCGUGCUGAUUGGGUGUCCACAUUAAGUCUGGCAUCAAUAUGGUGACCUCCUGGGAGCAGGGAACCACCAGGUUGCCCAAGGAGGGUUGAACCAGCCUAGGUUGGAAACGGAGAUGGUCAAAACUCCAGUGCUGAUCCGUAGCGGGAUCAUGCCUGUGACUAGCCACUGCACUCCAGCCUGGGCAACAGAGUGAGACCCUGUCUCUA